UAAGACCUGCAGGAUUUUACCCCACAUCACCUGAAUGCAACCCAGAUACUUUAAUUAAGCUAAGACCUU
rnacentral:tRNA from 1 species